GCGUAAUAUAGAAAUUAUCUUGUUGAGAUCCUAUGAAUCAGUUCAAUUAAAACCUUAGAUUCAUACUAGAGCCACGAUGAUUUAGUCUCAAGCUAAACAGGUGUUGGGUUAAGUCUCGCAACGAGCGCAACCCUCGUGUUUAGUUGCCACUAUGAGUUUGGAACCCUGAACAGACCGCCGGUGUUAAGCCGGAGGAAGGAGAGGAUGAGGCCAAGUCAUCAUGCCCCUUAUGC
rnacentral:ncRNA from 1 species